UACGGGGGGAGCAAGCGUUGUUCGGAUUUACUGGGCGUAAAGGGCGCGUAGGCGGCGUGACAAGUCACUUGUGAAAUCUCCGGGCUUAACCCGGAGCGGCCAAGUGAUACUGUCGUGCUAGAGUGCGGAAGGGGCUACUGGAAUUCUCGGUGUAGCGGUGAAAUGCGUAGAUAUCGAGAGGAACACCUGCGGCGAAGGCGGGUAGCUGGCCGACACUGACGCUGAGGCGCGAAAGCCAGGGAGGCGAACGGG
rnacentral:rRNA from 1 species